GCUAUGAGUUCCGUGCUCGAGGGCGGUCGCUCCCCCUCGGGCGAUGCGCUCCUGAGUUAUGCAUCACGGGUUGGAGUAAACCCGAAGGACGGUCCUAGCGGGUGAGUUCCUGCGAUGAUGGACUUAAUGUGAAGCAAGCUAAUGUGGCGAAACCCCCGGGUUAGCCUUGAGAUUAAAGAACAAAGAGUAAAGAACAAAGAGCAAAGAAUAAAGAACAAAGA
rnacentral:lncRNA from 1 species